rnacentral:rRNA from 1 species
GACGAACGCUGGCGGCGUGCUUAACACAUGCAAGUCGAACGGAAAGGCCCUGCUUUUGUGGGGUGCUCGAGUGGCGAACGGGUGAGUAACACGUGAGUAACCUGCCCUUGACUUUGGGAUAACUUCAGGAAACUGGGGCUAAUACCGGAUAGGAGCUCCUGCUGCAUGGUGGGGGUUGGAAAGUUUCGGCGGUUGGGGAUGGACUCGCGGCUUAUCAGCUUGUUGGUGGGGUAGUGGCUUACCGAGGCUUUGACGGGUAGCCGGCCUGAGAGGGUGACCGGCCACAUUGGGACUGAGAUACGGCCCAGACUCCUACGGGAGGCAGCAGUGGGGAAUAUUGCACAAUGGGCGGAAGCCUGAUGCAGCAACGCCGCGUGCGGGAUGACGGUCUUCGGGUUGUAAACCGCUUUCGCCUGUGACGAAGCGUGAGUGACGGUAAUGGGUAAAGAAGCACCGGCUAACUACGUG